CCCUGACCUUUGACUCCAAAGCCCAUGCUCUUUCCACUGAGCCACGCUGCUUCUCAUAACCUCAGAAGGAACAUAGCCUAGUGGAUAGAGCACAGGCCUGGGAGUCAGAAGGACCUGGGUUCUAACCCCUGCUCUGCCACUUGUCUGCUGUGUGAUGUGGGGCAAUUCACUUUUCUUCUCUGUGCCUCAGCUACCUCAUCUGUAAAACAGGGAUUAAGAGUGUGAGCCCCAUGUGGGACAGGAACUGUGUCUAUGCUUGUAUCCACCCCAGUGCUUAUUACAGUGCCUGGCCCAUUUAACAAAUGCCACAAUUAUAAUUGUUGUCCAGAAAUCAUUCUCUUAUCUUUGGGAGUGACAGUCCACUCUGAGGAGCCUUAUGUUUUUCUGCCCCCUAAAGCUCAAAAUGUCCAGUACUUUGAUCCACCAUCUAAGAGAAGUUCUGUCUCUCUGUUUAGGUCUCAUUUAACCCAGCUGUUCCCUGUAAAUUUUCUGAAGAUUUGAUUGUUGUAAUUUGAGCACGUGGACCAAAGCGACCUUGGUCACUCAGAAAGGAUGACAUGAUUUUGGAAAAUGCUUGUGAGGAAGUGUUCUCUGCAAUGAAGAGCCCGAGGUGCCCAGCCUUCAGCUAUGAGACAGCUCCCGCCUGUUCUCACUCAGGUGAGUCACCACAUUUCCCGCCGGGCAAGUAUUUUAAGACAGUGAGGAACCUGAACCCAAUUCAGCCGAGAAAUCUGAGGGGAUGGAUUAACGCCAUUAACUUGGAGGUUGGUUUGUUGUCAUGGUGCUGGAGAGAUGGUUUCCAGUUUGACUCCCACUCAGCAGCUGUUGGCUGGCAUUUUCCUCCGCUGAGGCCUGGAUUCCCCCAACCCACACAUGCGUACGCACACUUGCAAUGACACACACUUUCUAAAAAGUCAGAUCCAAGUUGAUUGUGUGGUACUUAGAAGAGGGAGCCCGUCUGGUAUCGAAUAUGUCCUCCGAGAAUAGGCAGCACAGAUAAUGCAAUUGACUCUCACAAAACUCAGCAGCUUGAAAGCUGCCAGCCAAAUGGGGUGAUGGUCGAACCACCUCCAAUAUGGGAAAAAUCCCACAAGUCACCCAACCCUUUAGAAAUACAAACUACUCUCAUUCAUUCAUUCGUAUUUAUUAAGCACUGACUGUGUGAAAAGCACUGUACUAAGCGCUUGGGAAAGUACAAUACAACAAUAAACAGUGACAUUCCCUGCUCACAGUGAGCUCACAGUCUAAAGGACUCCUUGUGGGCAAAGAACACGUCAACCGUCUCUGACACGCUACUCUUUCCACCACUGAGUACAAUGCUCUGCACCCAGAAAGAGCUCAGUAAAUACCAUU
rnacentral:lncRNA from 1 species